rnacentral:rRNA from 2 species
AGACCCGAAACCCGGUGAUCUAGCCAUGGGCAGGUUGAAGGUUGGGUAACACUAACUGGAGGACCGAACCGACUAAUGUUGAAAAAUUAGCGGAUGACCUGUGGCUGGGGGUGAAAGGCCAAUCAAACCGGGAGAUAGCUGGUUCUCCCCGAAAGCUAUUUAGGUAGCGCCUCGUGAAUUCAUCUCCGGGGGUAGAGCACUGUUUCGGCUAGGGGGCCAUCCCGGCUUACCAACCCGAUGCAAACUGCGAAUACCGGAGAAUGUUAUCACGGGAGACACACGGCGGGUGCUAACGUCCGUCGUGAAGAGGGAAACAACCCAGACCGCCAGCUAAGGUCCCAAAGUCAUGGUUAAGUGGGAAACGAUGUGGGAAGGCCCAGACAGCCAGGAUGUUGGCUUAGAAGCAGCCAUCAUUUAAAGAAAGCGUAAUAGCUCACUGGUCGAGUCGGCCUGCGCGGAAGAUGUAACGGGGCUAAACCAUGCACCGAAGCUGCGGCAGCGAACGUAUCACCCAAGACAACUUUACGGAGUUGACGAUUGACGGAGCGAAGCGACGUCAAAGCGUUCAUUAAAGUCGAGUUGGCUUAGGGAUACGUUCGUUGGGUAGGGGAGCGUUCUGUAAGCCUGUGAAGGUGUGUCGUGAGGCAUGCUGGAGGUAUCAGAAGUGCGAAUGCUGACAUAAGUAACGAUAAAGCGGGUGAAAAGCCCGCUCGCCGGAAGACCAAGGGUUCCUGUCCAACGUUAAUCGGGGCAGGGUGAGUCGACCCCUAAGGCGAGGCCGAAAGGCGUAGUCGAUGGGAAACGGGUUAAUAUUCCCGUACUUGGUGUUACUGCGAAGGGGGGACGGAGAAGGCUAUGUUGGCCGGGCGACGGUUGUCCCGGUUUAAGCGUGUAGGUGUGUGUUCCAGGUAAAUCCGGUUCACUUUAACACUGAGGCGUGACGACGAGGCACUACGGUGCUGAAGCAACAAAUGCCCUGCUUCCAGGAAAAGCCUCUAAGCAUCAGGUAACAUCAAAUCGUACCCCAAACCGACACAGGUGGUCAGG